UACGAAGGUGGCAAGCGUUGUUCGGAUUUACUGGGCGUACAGGGAGCGUAGGCGGUUGGAUAAGCCCUCCGUGAAAUCUCCAGGCUUAACCUGGAAAGUGCAGAGGGGACUGUUCAGCUAGAGGAUGGGAGAGGAGCGCGGAAUUCCCGGUGUAGCGGUGAAAUGCGUAGAGAUCGGGAGGAAGGCCGGUGGCGAAGGCGGCGCUCUGGAACAUUUCUGACGCUGAGGCGCGAAAGCCAGGGGAGCAAACGGG
rnacentral:rRNA from 1 species